GACUGUUGGGUUUUCAGAUGUAUAUGUAAAUGUAUCCCAGCCUACAGCUUGAAUGUGUGCUAUUUGCUCCACCUGUUCUGUGUUUGCAAAGUGUGAUUCAAUCCCCUCUAUCAGAUGGCACUGUUUAGAUUCCCUCGUCGUCUGGCAAAAACAUUGAAAGGUGAAGAAAAAGUCAGGUUCAAGCAAUGUGGACAAGCUACAGUUUGUCUCAUCAGCACAAGCAAGCAAGGGCUUUGAAGGCUAAAGAAAAGAGUGGAUAAACAGUUAUUCUUUUUGUCAUCUGUUGUAAUGAUAGACAAAAAAUGGCUGUCAUCCUCAGCAAGCCCCUUUCCCAGAACCAUUCCCUGACUCCAAAGUAUCCCAUAAUAAAAAUAACAACAAAAACCCCGGAGUUCAUAUUCAGUCACCUCAUUCCAUCAUUCUUUUUACCUCAGAAACAUUGGAAGAAACAGAAACAUUCCUUCGUGAACCCCUCUCUUCUGCAAUAGACUGCAUGAAAAGCAAGAAAGCAGGGAAAUAAAGGGAAAAAUUUCCUGCAGGAAGUUGGCACAUUGUCUUUAGCAGUGCUACCCACUUCCCUUCCUGGAGCUUGUUUCUUCUGACAGCAAUACCGGAUGGCUUAGCGACUCUGCAAAUGGUGAGACAAAUGUACUGUGGAGCAAAAAAAUAUUUCCUCGUAGCCAUGUCAGGUUGUUCUCCUCUGCCUCCCCCGCUGUUAAGAGCUACUGGUGUCUCGCAGCCAUCUGGUGCAGGAUUCAAGACUUCCUGCUGAUAACCCUGGCCAGUCCUGGCAUCGCUGUGCACUUGAAACAGGUUUUGAGGUAUUUGUACAAAGCUAGGAAAGCAGUGGAAAGGCUAGAGGAAAAUGAGUGGGAAGGUGCGAGGUGGAGACAAGACAGGCUGGUGAUGCAGGAGGCCUCCACGUGUUUCUCCUUUUUAGAGGAUAAAAGACAGGGUUUUGCCAAGCAGCGAUUCCUGAUGGGAUGCAGCUGUGGGAGAAUACAGCAGUAGCUGACAUGGCUCCUCUUUAUUCCCUACUGGGGAAUGGAUAUGCAGACAGAUUUACAGAGAAACCCAAGGACUUAAAGCCCUUAGGAUGAAAGAAGGUCUGAGAAACCAUCUGCCUCAGUUUCUUCCACCAGCUCCUCACCAUCUGAUGGUACUCCUGAGUGACAGUGGGGAAGCUAAAGAAACACUUGUAGUAUGUUUAGGCUACUGCGCUUUAGACUACUUUGUUAAUGCACUUUUAUUUUUUUUUUCAUCCCACAGGCAUAGAGGAAUGUCUCAUACUUAAUAAAUGAUUAAAUUGGCUAUGUCAGAAUAUGUAA